CUACGGGCUGCUGCAGUGAGGAAUAUUGCACAAUGGGGGGAACCCUGAUGCAGCAACGCCGCGUGGAGGAUGACGCAUUUCGGUGUGUAAACUCCUUUUAUAUGUCAAGAAAAUGACGGUAGCAUAUGAAUAAGCACCGGCUAACUCCGUGCCAGCAGCCGCGGUAAUACGGAGGGUGCAAGCGUUACUCGGAAUCACUGGGCGUAAAGGACGCGUAGGCGGGUUGGAAAGUCAGGUGUGAAAUCCUACAGCUUAACUGUAGAACUGCACUUGAAACUUCUAAUCUAGAGUAUGGGAGGGGGAGAUGGAAUUAGUGGUGUAGGGGUAAAAUCCCUAGAUAUCACUAGGAAUACCUAAAGCGAAGGCGAUCUCCUGGAACAUUACUGACGCUAAGGCGUGAAAGCGUGGGGAGCAAACAGGAUUAGAUACCCUUGAGUC
rnacentral:rRNA from 1 species